AUGAAUCACUCUGUAAUUUCGGUUUUCUCAUGGAAUGUAAGGGGGAUUGGUGAACCCACUAAAUGCUCAAACAUUCUCGCUGAACUAAUAGCCAUUAACCCUCACCUUGUAUUACUUCAAGAGUCUAAGCUUCAAUCCAUGCCAGAACAGAAGUUAUGUUCCUUCAUCCCAUGCUCGCUGGACCACUAGGUCUACUUACCCAUGGACGGCUCAGCAGGGGGAUCUGCCUCGGCGGCCAACUUAGCACUCCUAAACAUUGUUUCACACACAAACCACACUUACUCAAUAACGCUCAUCAUUAAGACUCCGGCCCUCGGUCAGAAUAUUACUGUCACAAAUAUCUAUGCACCCUCCUGUCACUCUCUCAGAGAAGACUUCCUUGACGAACUAAAAGCGAUUAAGCAAGACGACUCCACUCCCUGGCUAAUUCUAGGAGAUUUUAAUCUACUUAGAUUUUCGUCCGACAAAAACAAUAGCAACUUCCGCCAACACGAGGUGAAUGCCUUCAAUGACAACCUAAACGAGCUAGCCCUCUUAGAACUUCCGCUCCUCGACUGACGCUUCACAUGGUCAAACAAUAGAACCUCUGCUGCCUUGGAACGUAUCGAUCGUGCUUUCUUUAACCUCGCUUGGAAUGACGCUUUCCCAAACACCACUCUAUUAUCACUCACACGAUUCACCUCAGAUCACGUCCCUCUUCUAGUGCACAUCAACAUGAAGCUUCCCCGCUCCAAUUUUUUCAAAUUUGAACCCGGUUGGGCCGCAUUCCCGGCUUGCGGGAAGAUUGUCCAACGCUGCUGGACCACUGGCACCCCACUCGAAAAUCCCGCCGCAGCUCUCUCAGCCUCUCUCGAAAAAACAAUAGGGGGCCUUAAAUGA
rnacentral:rRNA from 1 species